rnacentral:rRNA from 1 species
GACGAACGCUGGCGGCGUGCUUAACACAUGCAAGUCGAACGGAAAGGCCCUGCUUUUGUGGGGUGCUCGAGUGGCGAACGGGUGAGUAACACGUGAGUAACCUGCCCUUGACUUUGGGAUAACUUCAGGAAACUGGGGCUAAUACCGUAUAGGAGCUCCUGCUGCAUGGUGGGGGUUGGAAAGUUUCGGCGGUUGGGGAUGGACUCGCGGCUUAUCAGCUUGUUGGUGGGGUAGUGGCUUACCAAGGCUUUGACGGGUAGCCGGCCUGAGAGGGUGACCGGCGACAUUGGGACUGAGAGACGGCCCAGACUCCUACGGGAGGCAGCAGGGGGGAAUAUUGCACAAUGGGCGGAAGCCUGAUGCAGCAACGCCGCGUGCGGGAUGACGGCCUUCGGGUUGUAAACCGCUUUCGCCUGUGACGAAGCGUGAGUGACGGUAAUGGGUAAAGAAGCACCGGCUAACUACGUG